UCAGAUUUGUUAGCACAGUAGUUUUUCUCUAGUUAUUUAUUCAAAAAGGGACAGGAAAGAUAACAAACAGUGAUUUUUGAGCUAAGUGAUUGUUUACUUUUUCCUGUUUCGGCUCAGUGUUAGUUUGGUUUUACCUUCGUUAAUAAUUACUGAAAGAAAAACAAAGCCAGUGGGCUGUAUGGUAUGUGAGUUUAUAAAAAGAGAUGAGAUGAGAGGUCUCAUUUCCAGCUGAAGCAGUGUCAAAAUGAGGAAUAUUUUUACAUCUUUAUUAAUCCUGGCAUUUUGCACUAGAUAUUGCACAUCUGUUACCAGCCCAGGCAAAGUUUUCCCAGGCCCUGGUCAUUUGCUUACGGCUCCAGGUGCCUGUAGUCUGAAAUUGUGCAAUGGUGAGAUUGCAUGGGGCACCACAAAGAUAUUUUGAGUUACUUGGAAAUUGAAGAGGAAGAAGUACUGCUCAAAUUAAAUUGGCAUAAAUCACACAAAUA